rnacentral:misc_RNA from 1 species
GAUAAGAAGGUUAGCAUCGCCAAAAAGGUACUUAAAAAAAGCCUCAAGAUUGAGUCCUUUGCGGUGGAAAAUGUUCAAAUGUUUAAGCUCAUGAAGAUGAUCAAAGAUAGCCUGAGCUUCCUCUAUAGUAGCCUUGUCUUGUUUCUGAACCUCUAGAAGGAAGCGGCGGAGAUGAUCAACGGUCAUAAGGCCAUUCUCAGAGUACUGACCAAACAAAGCCUUGAUCUCUUCAGGAGCCUCCGCCACCGCCAACUUGAACCUCCGGCGGAAACACAAGCACACUUUGUAGGUCUGCUUGGACAUCUCAGAAAUGGGUAUGGAAGGAAACCUAGAUAGCGAAAGAGAAAGGAGAGGAAUGAGUUUUGUCUGUUUUAGAUUGCUUCUGGU